CCGGACACGUGAUGUGACGCCUUGCCGCGAAUUUCAACCAGACCAAACAGUCGUUUAGGCGCGCAAGGGGAACUUUAAAGCUCCCUUUAAGGGCUUUAUACGUUUUUAUUUAUAAAACAAGUGGUGCAGAAAAUACCUCAAUAUUUAAUACAAACUAUGGCUACUCCUCCCAAGAGAUGUUGUAGAAGUUUCGACGCUGACCUCAGCUUCGAAAAAAGAGCAUUGAAAAUCUCAAUAGAGGGAAACAUAGCUGCUGGCAAGUCAACGUUUGUGCGCGUGUUGGAGCGUACGUCAGAAGAGUGGGAGGUCAUACCAGAACCCAUAGGAAAGUGGUGCAAUGUGCAAACCACAGAGAAUGAGUACGAGGAGCUUAGCACAUCACAGAAGAGCGGAGGAAACCUGCUGCAGAUGUUAUAUGACAAGCCCAGCCGCUGGUCCUACACUUUCCAGACGUACGCCUGCCUGAGUCGUGUCCGUUCACAGCUUCAACCUCCUUCUGCCAAACUUCAGCAGGCUGAGAAACCCGUCCAGUUUUAUGAGCGUUCUGUCUACAGUGACCGGUAUGUGUUUGCGUCAAACCUCUUUGAAUCUGGAGAUCUGAACGAGACUGAAUAUGCCAUCUACCAAGACUGGCAUUCGUGGCUCCUCGGUCAGUUUGAGGCUCAGCUUGAGCUAGAUGCCAUGAUCUACCUUCGUGCGGAUCCAGAGAGAUGUAUGCAGCGUCUUCUGUUCAGAGGGCGAGAUGAGGAACAGGGGAUUCCACUUGAGUAUCUUGAGAAGCUGCAUUAUAAGCAUGAGUGUUGGCUGUUCAACCGGACCACAAAGUUAGGUUGACUUUGAGUAUCUUAAAGACAUUCCAAUAUUGGUCCUGGAUGUUAAUGAGGACUUUAAAAAUGACAGAAUUAAACAAGAAGGAGUAAUGGAUCAGGUGAAGAAGUUCCUGAACACGCUGUAGCCUCCAAUCCAACUGCUUGAAUCACGUAUACUGGUGAUUUAUCACUAGUAUUCUGGAUCAGUGCCUGUUACUACUUGAAUGAUUUUUUAUCUGCUUUUUGUUGAGCUUAUUGUACAUAUGUAAUUGUGUUUUUAUUAAAACCAGAUUUUUAACAUUUUACAA